UGCUCAAUUCAGCAGCAAUCUACUAAAAUUGGAAAGAUACAAAGAUUAUUAUCAUGGCCCCUGUGCAAGGAUGACAUGCAAUUUAUGAAGCACUUCAUAAUUUU
ensembl:snRNA U6 U6 spliceosomal RNA